GGUGAGGUAAAAGCUCACCAAGGCGACGAUCUGUAGCGGGUCUGAGAGGAUGAUCCGCCACACUGGAACUGAGACACGGUCCAGACUCCUACGGGAGGCAGCAGUGGGGAAUUUUGGACAAUGGGGGCAACCCUGAUCCAGCCAUGCCGCGUGAGUGAAGAAGGCCUUCGGGUUGUAAAGCUCUUUCAGCCGGGAAGAAAACGCAUGGGUUAAUACCCUGUGUGGAUGACGGUACCGGAAUAAGAAGCACCGGCUAACUACGUGCCAGCAGCCGCGGUAAUACGUAGGGUGCGAGCGUUAAUCGGAAUUACUGGGCGUAAAGCGUGCGCAGGCGGUUUUGUAAGACAGGCGUGAAAUCCCCGGGCUUGACCUGGGAACUGCGUUUGUGACUGCAAGGCUAGAGUACGGCAGAGGGGGGUGGAAUUCCACGUGUAGCAGUGAAAUGCGUAGAGAUGUGGAGGAACACCAAUGGCGAAGGCAGCCCCCUGGGUCGAUACUGACGCUCAUGCACGAAAGCGUGGGUAGCAAACAGGAUUAGAUACCCUGGUAGUCCACGCCCUAAACGAUGUCAACUAGGUGUUGGGAGGGUAAAACCUUUUAGUACCGGAGCUAACGCGUGAAGUUGACCGCCUGGGGAGUACGGCCGCAAGGUUAAAACUCAAAGGAAUUGACGGGGACCCGCACAAGCGGUGGAUGAUGUGGAUUAAUUCGAUGCAACGCGAAAAACCUUACCUACCCUUGACAUGCCAAGAACUUUCCAGAGAUGGAUUGGUGCCCGAAAGGGAACUUGGACACAGGUGCUGCAUGGCUGUCGUCAGCUCGUGUCGUGAGAUGUUGGGUUAAGUCCCGCAACGAGCGCAACCCUUGUCGUUAAUUGCCAUCAUUUAGUUGGGCACUUUAACGAGACUGCCGGUGACAAACCGGAGGAAGGUGGGGAUGACGUCAAGUCCUCAUGGCCCUUAUGGGUAGGGCUUCACACGUCAUACAAUGGUCGGUACAAAGGGUCGCCAAGCCGCGAGGUGGAGCCAAUCCCAGAAAGCCGAUCGUAGUCCGGAUCGCAGUCUGCAACUCGACUGCGUGAAGUCGGAAUCGCUAGUAAUCGUGGAUCAGAAUGUCACGGUGAAUACGUUCCCGGGUCUUGUACACACCGCCCGUCACACCAUGGGAGCGGGUUCCGCCAGAAGUAGGUAGCCUAACCGCAAGGAGGGCGCUUACCACGGCGGGGUUCGUGACUGGGGUGAAGUCGUAACAAGGUAGCCGUAGGGGAACCUGCGGCUG
rnacentral:rRNA from 1 species